CCAGCUUGCUGGGUGGAUUAGUGGCGAACGGGUGAGUAACACGUGAGUAACCUGCCCUGGACUCUGGGAUAAGCGUUGGAAACGACGUCUAAUACCGGAUAGGACCCUGGACCGCAUGGUUCGGGGUGGAAAGUUUUUUCGGUCUGGGAUGGACUCGCGGCCUAUCAGCUUGUUGGUGAGGUAAUGGCUCACCAAGGCGUCGACGGGUAGCCGGCCUGAGAGGGUGACCGGCCACACUGGGACUGAGACACGGCCCAGACUCCUACGGGAGGCAGCAGUGGGGAAUAUUGCACAAUGGGCGAAAGCCUGAUGCAGCAACGCCGCGUGCGGGAUGACGGCCUUCGGGUUGUAAACCGCUUUUAGUAAGGAAGAAGGGGAGCUUGCUCCUUGACGGUACUUGCAGAAAAAGGACCGGCUAACUACGUGCCAGCAGCCGCGGUAAUACGUAGGGUCCGAGCGUUGUCCGGAAUUAUUGGGCGUAAAGAGCUCGUAGGCGGUUUGUCGCGUCUGCUGUGAAAUCUGGAGGCUCAACCUCCAGCCUGCAGUGGGUACGGGCAGACUAGAGUGCGGUAGGGGAGAAUGGAAUUCCUGGUGUAGCGGUGGAAUGCGCAGAUAUCAGGAGGAACACCGAUGGCGAAGGCAGUUCUCUGGGCCGUAACUGACGCUGAGGAGCGAAAGCGUGGGGAGCGAACAGGAUUAGAUACCCUGGUAGUCCACGCCGUAAACGUUGGGCGCUAGAUGUGGGGACC
rnacentral:rRNA from 1 species